rnacentral:ncRNA from 1 species
AUGAUAGAGGCGCAUCGCGUGAUGAGUAAACGAGCUGGAAGGGGCUGUAUCCCGUUGGCUUGCGGAAAGGGGCGCGUUGCCGAAGGCAGCUUCGGAUACAGCGGAGCUGUGCUGGGCCGGUAAACUAAUAGCUGCCGGACUGUCGCAUCACUGCGGAGUGCUAUCGUU